CAAAAGAUCCAGUCAUUGAAUACACGGAGAUGCCGUUUGUCCUGGAAGCAAAACGUAAAAAAAAAAAAAUAAUAAUAUCCAACAAGGUAUGCAUGUACGUCUGUCUAUGCACGUCUAUGGUAUGCGAACGAUUGUUUUUUUUUUUUUUUUUUUUCCUUUUUUUUUUGUUUUUUUUUUUUUUUUUUUAUAAAAAAA
rnacentral:ribozyme from 1 species